UGUCAGUUCUCGCUGGUCUCUUCCACUGAGCAGAAGAACUCCUUGUGUGGGUCUCACUGCCGAGCGGAGCGUUGGGUGGCCUAGAGGGCAAAGUCAAUACCCUAGUUCACAUUCAAUCACAAAUAGAUAUGAGUCUGCCAGCUGGGAGGCCUCCACGUCCCCCUCGGGCAUGUAAACGAAGGGGUGGCUCCACCAGCCGGGAAGGAGGCUGAAGGCUGGCGGGGCUAAGCCCCAGCUCAGGGAGCUGUGCCUCCCGGCCUGGCCUGUCGUCCUGCCCCGUUGAGUCACUGAAAAUCCCCAGACUGUCAGGCGGACUUGGGUAAGAUGCAAAGAGACUUUGGGAGCGUCCCUGACUGGCCGUUGAGAGCAGUCAGCUGCCCCAUGGUUGUUGUGGGGUGGAAGGGGCUUAUUCCAAGCUCUCGAUACCUGCACCAGGAAAAAUUUCCCCUAGCAGUCAAAUUCACACGCGCGCACACACACACACACCAACCUAAGAAUAAUCAAUACCUUGCAUAUGAAAACAAGAUCUGAUCACAGGGUCUGAUAAGCUCAGGUGGGGUGAAUUGCAGGAAGGGAGCAUCAAACCCCAGCUCAAGAGGCCACCCAGCAGCUCUGGGAUGUUCCCCCAACAGAACCAGGAACUCUCAGGCAUGAAUGACCCGCUGUCCCCAAGGAGGUAGGUCGCUGCCUCUGGAAAGGUCAGGAAGGUGAGAUGGGGCAAGAAGCUGGUGGGGGUGGAGAAAGAGACAAGCUAGACCACAGGGCAAAUUCCGGCAGGUCUGAAUCCGACGCCAGGAUGGCGGGAUGCUUCUGCCCCUGCUUCCUCCUUCCAGAACCACAUUCAUCCAGAUUCUGAACUUUCUAAAGGAGGAGUGAUUCCAAUAGCAGAGAAGAUUCUGGACCAGGGGAGACCCACCACCCUGAGAUCUGUCCUCCCCUUCCUUACACCCUGCAAAAUGUCUCCUGGCUGCCAGCUUCCUCCUCUGCCUGCGGCUGGAAGCUCAGAUAGCAGCUGCUCUCCCUCUUCCCAGGAGGGAGGGACCGGGCCCGUCCCAGCAGGUGCCUGAGCCUCGCCUUUUCUCCUGGGGCGAGAGGCAACUGCAGGUGCCUCCUGCCCCUCCCUCUUUCCUCUGAGUGGGAGGGGGUGGCUAGGGAUGCGUCCCCACUGCUCCCUCGGCCCCCUUGGCGCUGGUGGCCUAGGGUAGGCCCUCUGCUCCUGGCUCUUUUCUCAGAGCAGAAGGCUGGAGCCCCAGAAUCCAAAGCUCGCUCUCCCUCACUCCUUCCCCACCAGCCCCACCACCUCCAACAAGCUCGAGGGCUCCCAGGAACCUCUGCUUUCGACGUGACCUGGCGUCUUACUUCAAUCUACCCUCAGCCGGCAGCACCAGGGCUGGGCAACCCUGUGGGAGGGAGGCAGCCUGGCCUCGAGGCAUGGACAGUCAGCCCCAAGAGCUUGAAAUGUGGUUGGUAGGGUUUACAACCCACAUUAAAGCUCUGCUUGAUAAAAUCUCCAAGUCCCAGCUCCUGGGGCUUAUCUGACCCCUGACAGGACAGGGCUGGAGGACAAACCUCUUUUCUCCCGUAUCUGGUUCCCUCACGGGGAAAAGAGGGGGAAGAGGAUUCAUCAAGAAUAUGAAGGAGUUCCUGCUGCAGCUCAGUGGGUUCAGAACCCGAUUAGUAUCUAUAGGAUGUGAGUUCAGUCCCUGGCCUCGCUCCUUGGGUUAAGGAUCCGGCGUUGCCAAGAGCUGUGGUGUAGGUCGCAGAUGCAGCUCAGAUCCCCCAUGGCUGUGGUUGUGACGUAGGUCUAAGCGGCUGCUCCAAUUCUACCCCUAGCCCAGAACUUCCAUAUGUCACAAGUGCAGCCCUAAAAAGACAAAAAAAAAAGAAAAAAAAGAAAAAAAAGAAAAAGAAUAUGAAGAUAGAGGGGGCGAGGUGGCAGCCAAGUCUUUCCUAGAAGCUCUUCUUGGAGAACUUCAGGUCCAGGGUGGAGCCGAACAGUAAAGCCAGGAGAGUGAAUGCCACGUAGGGGGGGACCCUUCCUGGGAAUGGCCAUCGUGUGUGUCCACGGACUCCUGCCUCUUCCCACCCCCCACCGCCGUGCUGGCUGGACUCAGCCCAUCACAGGACGACCUACCACCUGCAGCCCCCAGCCCUCACCUGUCUGGAGACAGGUCACUGCUUCAUGACACAAUUGGGCAUCGCAGGGAAAGGGCAGGCUUCCCCGGGGAAAGUCGAGUUCUAAAGAAACAGCGGGAACCCAGACACUCUGAACAUCCCCUGUGGGCCUUCUAGAAGGAACCCCCCAGAAAAGAAAGGCAACCCUGGCAGGGAAAGGGGUCCAAGGAAGGCCCAUCUGGGGGCUGGCUGUGACGUGCAGCCAGAGGAAGGGGACAGGAAAGUCGGUGGUGACGACAAAAGUGCCCCAGCCUAGAAAACCCGCCCUGACCAUGGCACCAAGGUUUAAAAAUAAUUAUAAUUUUUGAAAAACCAUUUUUGGUUCCAAUUCUGGGGAGAAGGAAAGACAGAAAAGCAGAAAAGAAAACAAGAAGCAGGGACAGGAUCCGGGGGCGGGAGGGAAUGUGAUGGAGACGGGAGAGGAGAGUGAGCAGGAGGGGGGCAAAUACACUGGACCCACGUCCACUUUCUUCUCGCCGUGGAUGAGCUCAGAGGCUGCUCAGCUAGUCGAACCUGAGCCGCAACACCAGCAGGCACCCAGCUCUUCUACUGCUGAAAACAUCGUCACUGGAUGCUCGGGUAAAGGGUCAUUUUCCCAGAAGCAGUUGACCGGGAUCUGAUGACCCCUCAUUAUUAAGCCCCUGGCUGAACCCCUUCUUCCAAGAUCUGCCAGUGAAGCCUGAGAAUUCCUACAUGGUUGACGGGGAACGUCCUGGGUCUUCCUCUUGGUCUGAGGCGCUUUUCUCAGCCCAGCACCUAAUUUUUUUCCUUUUUUAGGGCCAGGCAGCAUAUGGAGGUUCCCAGGCUAUAGGUCAAAUCAGAGCUGCACCUGCCGGCCUACACCACAGCCACAACAACGCCAGAUCCAAGCCGUGUCUGUGACCUACACCCCAGCUCACGCCAAAUCCUUAACCCACGGAGCAGGGCCAGGGAUCAAGCCCAUGUUCUCAUGGAUACUGGUUGAGUUUGUAACCGGCUGAGCCACAAUGGGAUCUCAGCCCAGCACCCUUGAUCAUGAGCCUUCUCAAAAAGAUUCCAUGAAUCAAGGUGAGAACUGACCAAGGCACUGUUCUACAGAUGGAGAAACUGAGAGGCUGAGCCCAAAGGAUGAGGGCUCAAAGCAAAAAGACCUUCAUUUCCAGCAACGCUCAUGUGACCUGGAGUCUCUAGGGUCCAGCGCCCAGGGAAGGAGAGCGUGCAUGUCCCGGUCACUCUUGCCGGGAGAAGGGGAACAUCUAACGUGGGCUCAGUCCACGCUGCGCUUCCAGGAAUAAGCAAAUUAUGUUAUCAGGUGUGAAUUUCCAAAAACUUAUGGAUAGAGUUGAUGACACCAUUUUCCAAAAAGAAUAAGCAAAUUAGAUCUAGAAGGACCUACACAGAGUGUCCGGGCCACGCCCGAUGAGACAGGUGAAAGGUGAGGUGUCAACGGUCCCUGUGACUUGUUCGAGAACACACACCGGCAAUUGGCUAAACCAGCCUUAUGACUAAAUGCAAAGAAAUGAGCAUUCUGAUCAGUAGGCAGCCCCUCUCUGCCGGCCUGUGUACGGAAUACGGCUGUGAGCAUGCUGCCUAUUAGCGUAACCUCAGCACUAACCACAGUCUGGGUUGUAUUACGCUUCCAGCAAUAUCCUCUUUAGGGUGAAAAGUCCUCCUAGAGUCUCAAAGAAAGAGAGAAACAUGACAUUGAGGUUCGCAAUAUUUCCAAAAAAGUGCAGGUGUGCCUCACUUCCUGCAAAUUCUGCACUAUUGCAUUGAUAUUGAAUGUUCGCAGUGAUAGCCUUUGAAUGGCCGAGGGAGUUGGCUGAAGAAAGUAGGGCUAUGGGGACUCCUUUCUAUUCCCAAAGCAUCUUUUUGUCAAGCAAAUAAUUCCUUCCAGUGUUCCCAAAUCAGUUUGACUGAAACUGAAGUGUGGAGUUGUCAUAAAAGCUAAGCCCCACAUUACGCCAAGUGCAGCUCAGAUGCCGUAAAGGACGGGACUUGGGGACCAGCUCAGGAAGAAAGCGUGUGGAGAGAAGUGGGUCCAGGAGAUAGACUAGGUAGAUUCACCUCUUUCCUAAUUUCUUCCUUCUUCUCCACCAGAGCGAAGCCCCAGCCUUCCUGUCCCCAAGCAAAGGUUUUUGAGGAAUCUUAUGAAAGAUAAUAAUUAGCAUGGUGGACAAGCCUGUCUUAUGCUGAAGAAUAAAUGGUAUCGAAAGGCAAACCUUUGAAACUGGAGAUUCUCAUAUCAAGUGAGGUAAGUCAGAAAGACAAACGCCAUAUGAUAUCACUUAUAUGUGGAAUCUAAAAUAUGACACAGGAGUUCCUGUUGUGGCGCAGUGGAAACGAACAAUAUAUAAAUAUGGCGCAAAUGAACCCACCCACAGAACAGAAAAAACUCAUGGACGGAGAGAACAGACUUGCGGUUGCCAUGGGGGACGGGGACGGAGUGAGAUGGACCGGGAGUUUGGGGUUGGUAGAUGCAAACUAUUGCAUUUGGAGUGGAUGAGCAAUGAGGUCCUGCUGUACAGCACAGAGAACUAUAUCCAAUCACUUGUGAUGGAACAUGAUGGAAGAUGAUACGAGAAAAAGAAUGGGUCAAUUUGCCAUACAGCAGAAAUUGGUGGAAUGCUGUAAAUCAACUGUAAUUUUAAAUUUUUUUAAAUUAAAAAUAACAUAAAACAUAAUUAAAAACUAAAAACCGGGAGGUCCUGUAGUGGCACAGUAGAGUUGAAUCUUACUAGCAUCCAUGAGGACACGGGUUCAAUCCCUGGCCUCGCUCAGUGGGUCAAAGGAUCUGGCAUUGCCAUGAGCUGUGGUGUAGGUCACAGACACAGCUCGGAUCUGGCGUUGGUGUGGCUGCAGUUUGAUCCCUAGCCAGGGAACUUCCAUAUGCCAUGGGUGAGGCACAUAAAAUAAAAUGCAAAAAAAAAGAAAAAAAAAAAAAAGAGGCAAACCUUCACUAAUUCUCAGCAGCAUUAUUCCAAUGGGAAGACAGGAGAGGGAAAAUCCUGGGGCAAUGAAAAGAUGAAGAGAAAGUCAGAAAUUGAUUAGGAGAUGAAACCCAUCACAGGAGUCUAAUGUUUUUAGAUUAUUUGUUGAGUUUUUUUUAAUGAAGCUGGAAAGAAAAACUAAAGGACCAGGAAUUGCUUCAAGGCCAAAGUGAAGUGGGGUCCAUUCAGAGGAAGAGCAUGGCUAGUUUCUCUUUCUCGCCCCAGAAAAGUACAGUGAGGAGUCAGGGUGAACUCGAAGGAGGCUAACAUUCAGCCAGCGCUGCCUGGUGUUCUCUGAUUAUUGAAGCAGUUCGGGGACCCUUGUGGGGAAUGUGCAAAGUCAGGUCUAAAGAAGGAGGAACGC
rnacentral:lncRNA from 1 species